ensembl:snoRNA
CACCCCUGUCACUGGGCAAGGCAACACCCAUGAUGAUGGUGCUGAAUCUUAUAUCUGACAGGGGUAGAUAAAACUUGGCCCAUAUUCAUCCCAGCAUACUCUUUUUGUGAGGCCAUGUCUGGUUCAUGCUAUGGGUACAUCG